rnacentral:sRNA from 1 species
CACACACACACACACACACACACACACACACACACACACGUACGUCCAACUCUUUUUCCUAUGUAAAUAUAUAGUAUUUUUUCUAAAUUGGGGUGAGGACUCUAUUCACGUUCAAAGCUAACCCAUACAGCUUAGGAGGUAAGGAUGGCUUACACUGAUCCGGAGUGUGGAUUAAGAGACUACUAUUUAAUGGUAUCUGCAGAUUACAUAAGAUUAAAAUUUCAAUAUCCAGAAAUAAAACUUUAUUGGGAUACAUCAAACUUGCUUAUGUAUGUGUGUUAACUUUAUAUUAGAUAUUUACUAUUUUUCCCUUUACAGAAAAAGCCUUACAGAAGCCUACAGUAGGGGGCAGAGGGGGGAGCUAGUUCUUAGAGACAGAAAUUGAUUUAAGAUGAACUUUAAACAUUACAACUGAAACAAAGCAAAUAACCCAUUUGCCACUGUGAUGCUUUGUGUCUGGGCUGCUCUGAGAAUGUAUUAUUCAGUGACUGCACUACCAGAAUUCCCAGAAAACAGUCCCCGUGGAAUGCUAAUUUCAUUACUAUUAAAUUUCAUAAUCAUGACUUGGAAUCCAUCUCCUUGCAGCUAACCCAACCCUCCCUCCACCUCCGCACAUACACAUUCAAACUGUUUUUGCUCCAAGUGUCUCUCUCCUCCCUGCUGUUAUGAACGGAACAAUCUGGGGGCUGCCUGGAUCAUCUGUGUAAAUCUACACCAGUGUUUAAAUGGAAAUAAUUCUGCUUGUUAAAAAUCCAAGCAUGCAUACUGUUUCCAGGCCUGAGACGAGUGUGGAAUCAAUUACAGUGGGCGUGUUAGUAAGUCUGCCCACUCGGUAAGGCUAGAGGGAGCACCUAGAGGGAGCACCAGCCCCUUGGGGAAGUAAGAGCCGAUAAAGGUGCAGACAUGCUCACGAUCACGCUCUGAUUUUGCUGCUCUGUCCUUUGGGUACUGCACUUAGCACGCUGCAGCAUUCCCAGUAGUUUCCUAGUUGUUUGACUUUUGCCUCAUCUCUGGUGUGUGUGUGUGUGUGUGUGUGUGUGUGUGUGUGUGUGUGUGUCUGUCUGUCUGUCUGUCUGUCUGUCUCAAAGAAAGGUAGGCCUUCCCCAAUCUCUUCCCCAACUUAUUUUUGUGAGACAGUAUCUCUCCAGGAGCUCUCCAAUCUGGCUACCAUAGCUGGCCAGGCACCCCAAACACCCGCCUGUUUCUGCUUUCCCUGUGCCAGGAUUAUAAACAACCUGUAUCUGGCUCUUAGGAGGGUUCUGGGAAUGGAGCUCAGAGCCUCACACCUGUGUGACAAUCACUUUACCCUGAAGCUAAGCUCCUCGAUCCCAAGAUCCAUGUUUGCAUUAUAUACUUUGCAUGACCACAAUGAGAUUACCCAGUCCCAAUCCCACUGCCAACCGAACUUUCAAGAGUGCCACCUUUUAAGCCAUCUUGGACCACUUAUGAGUAAUCCUAUAGAAACACUGAUCAAAAGAAAAACAGCUCACCUUUUGCUGAUACAAAUAACCCUUGGAUGCAACCCACUGACAUAAGAAAGAGAGAAAAGACUGCCAGGUCUGUCAGUGUUCAAGACUACAGCACUUCUAGAAGAUCCAAAUGGACAAUGAGUAACUGUAUUUACUCUCCUGGUUACAAGUGACAGAACUACUCGUCCUAAGAUGAAUGUGACUCUUUAGAAUUAGCUGAGGGUACCCUGUUUCUGCAGAUGAACUUUUGCUCUGGUCACUGCAGGUCCACAAGGUUGGCUGAAAUAAUCGCAGUAUUCCCAGGCUACAAGUGGGAAAGUGCUUGCUUCUAGCAGGACUGAGGACGCCGGUGAGCGCACUACUUUUCUGAGGCCGGUGGCAUAUUUCUUACCACGCAUGCCUACACUGAUGGUCAAGCUGCCCAGCAACUGGGAGAACCGAUGAGCAGAUCACGAAAGGCACCAGUUUCAAAUAACCAGUGACCUACCUAGCUUGGCCUGAAAAAAGGAGACAUCCAGAAACCUGAAGACAGUCAUCUCCCAUGUCUCUGAGGAGGACAUACAAGCAUAAAGCACUGAUCAAAGGGUUUGUGUCUUGCAUCGCUCAAAGAAGAAAGAAGGAAGCAGAGAGGCUCGGCUUGUAGGGAAACCAAUGGUGCCACAGGCAGAGGGCACAGACACAAACAAGCACGUCCCGAGAUGGGUCCCGGGAGCCUGCACACCUGUUCCCCAGUCUUUUGUAUACACUCUGGUCUGUGCAUACACACUGAGCAUGUGUAUGCAAUGUCCGAGAUGAACACACCAGCCCUGCUUAUUAUUCUUUUAUGUAUGAAAAUCUAAAAUUUCUUUUACAGAAGAACCCAAACUACCAAGUCAGGUUUAGGGUUCCCCUGGUGUCACCCCUUACAGGGCAUUCUACUUCACUGGGUCUCUCCCAUGUGAGAGGGUUGGGAUUGCUGUAGCUCCUGUGAAUCAGUAUUCUAGAACCCCGAUUCUGUGCUUCUGGAAGUCCUCUAGCAUGCUCCAUAUGUCCUGGGCUUUACCACAGCCCCAUACAAGACAGAAACAGGGAGGCCCAAAAUCUAAGCCACAGCUUCUCCCAUCACACAGGUGAUGCUGGUACUGUAGAGUGUAAGAGUGUGUGUGUGUGUGUGUGUGUGUGUGUGUGUGUGUGUGUGUGUGUGUGUGUGUUUAUUUCAUGGCACAAUCUAUGCUUUAAGUAUUGAAAAGGAACUCAAAAGCUUCAGUAACUGGUUUAGGGCUGGGAAGGAAGGGGUCACAUAUGAGGCAGAAGUGAUGGGGAUGGCUUUCUGUCUGUUUGUAGUUUAACCGUUUCCUAGCAACAGUGGGAGUUAGGUUGGAAACAUGGUCCAAAGGAUAAAACCACGUGUUGCAAACAUGAGGGUCUGAGUUUGGAUUCCUAGCUGGAAACAGCAAGAUGCCUUGGUGUAAAACUCAGUGUCAUUACAAAGCCUGCAAUGUCAGACUACAGAUGCAGAGUUCAUACUGUAGAUUUAUCCAGACAAUUCACAUCCUUGUGGGAAAGUCCAUCACAUGACUGAAAGAAUAAGAGUGACCAAGGAACACAAGGAGGGCUCGCAAUCCCAGCAAAGAUUACAGGAAAAAGUGGCCCACCAGCUCAGCUUCAGGAAUUAAUAUGUCUAUUCCACAGCUUGUGAAUAAUGAGCCCAGGUGUUAGAAGCCACCAAAGCUGUGUCACAACUCCACUUGUUCCUCUGACACAGAGAAGACAGUUUUUCUGUUUCAUCCACAUAAUGGAGACACACCAGCAUCUAGGCUGCAAUAAUGUUAGCAUUUCAUUUACGGACUUAGCAUAGCACCCAGCUUAAAGUUGGGGUCACAGAUGUUGCCAGCAGCACCUGCAGCAGCCAUCUGCCAAUGUGCUCUGUACCAGGGCCCACGAUCUCCCCACAGCUACCCUGUGGGCUAACUGCUCGCAGCUACCAGCUUUCUACCAACUGUCGUCGGCUGAAGAUUCCAAGACGCCUGAGAGUUCGGAUAAUGGUUGACAUUGUGAAAGGCUGGGCUUCUGGUCCGAAGGGAACAUGUUGGUGUAAUUAUGCCCUAGUCAAGGCCAGGCUCAGCUUUAAGGCCUUCUUUGCUUGGUCUCUCCAUCUGCUGUGCUAGCCCCUUCCCUGAUGCCCAAACCUCCCUAGCAAAUCCCCCACAUGCAAAGCUCUAGGCUCUGCUCUAGAAAACCCAACCCAAUAUUUGGCCGGAAUGACGUUUUUAUUAGCAGGCAAAGGUGCCAAGUCCCAGCGUGUUUACUGAGGCACGUUUAUGAUAUCAAGAAAUGUAGAACAACCUAAGUCUUCUCAAGCGGACAUCAAACAUGGGGCGAAAAAGAGCACCCUACACAUCAAUAUUCAUGUACACGGCACAGUGGUGAGGAGAUAGUAACACAACAAAGUGCUACCUUAUUCAUAAACAAAAUGUGUAAAGAUAUAGAAACUUAAUAACAGGAGUCCAAGAUGGGUGUGGUGGCACAGGCCUGUCAUCCCAAUAUUCCAUCAGAUCAAGGCAAGAAGGCUACAAGUCUAAGGUCAUGGUGGAUAACUCAGAUCAUGCCUCAAACACGAAAGACGUUCCAACAACCCACGCGCUGGUUUGAAUAUGAAUGGACAGCCCCUGUAGGUCCAUACGCUUGAAUACUUGGUCACCAAUUAGUGGAAUUCUUUGGGAAGGAUUAGUGUCACUUGGGGUUUCACUUGGUGUAGGCCAGGUUGUCUCUCUCUUUGUGGGCAGAUCAGGAUGUUUAAGCUCUUAGUCACUUCUCUAGCAUUAACUAUGUCUGCCUGUAUGUCACCAUGCUCCCUACAUGAUGAUAAGAGACUAACCCUCUGAAACGGUAAGCAAGUCCCCAAUUAAACACUCUCUCCUGAAGUAGCCUUGAUCAUGGUGCCUCUUCACAGCAACAGGCAGUGACUAAGACAAUCCGGGUUGGUAACAGUGCUGUUCUCGGUAGCCAGGAAGAGCCCUCGGAAGGGCUGCUCACCAGUAAAUGGAACACACAUACAGAGGAAGCAUUAGCCUUGAAAGGGAAGAAAACACCUAAGCUGCUAGAGCCUGGACAGAUCUCACAGGCAGUAAGUGAACAAGCCAGCCAGGGAGAAGCAAGCACUGUAUGAUCCGAUGAGGUGCCCACUGUGAGAAACAGAAAACAGGACAGUGGCUACCUCACCAGACCGCAACAGUUUUGAAGGGUGGGAAAGUUCUGGAGGUCGUAUGAACGAUGCUGUAAGUACACUCAACGUGACAGAACCAUACGCAUUAUAGAUGGCCAAGGUAGCCAGACAUGGUGGGUCCACCUGUGACCCCCACACACUUGAAAGGUAGAACCAGGAGGAUGAAGGGCUUCAGCUACUAAGUGACUACACAGUGAGUUCCAGGCCACCUUGGGCUAAGAUCUGAGACCCAACAUCCCCCGUCCCCCAGAAAAGGAAAACACAAGUGAUUAUGGUGUGCUCUGCUAUAUAUUACUUGAUACAAUGUUAAAGUAAGAAAAAACAAUAGAUUUUCCUGUGAUGUGAAACAACCUAGAAACAGGGGCAGCUUAGAGGUUGUUCCUCUGCUUGACUAUUGUACGUGAACGUGAGUUAAGGUUUGAACACCCUGUGUUCCCCACAGACUCACGUAUUGUGGAAGUGCCCCCAGCCAUUGCUACUGAGAGGGGAUGGAAACUUCAGGAGGUAGGGAAGGUAGUUCACUGGGGGCACAACCCUAAAGAGAGAUGCCUUAUCCCUGCCUCUCUCUGACUCUUCCUCUCCAGCUUUUAGCUACAAGGUAAGCAAAUCUGCCAGACCACACCCUUGGUGUCAUGGUCUGCCUGACUGUGGCCCAGCAGAGACUACCACGAAUGGAACUUCUGAAACUACGAGUCUAACUUACAUCUCCUUCAUUCUGUUUCUCUACGUAGUGGUCCAAGCUGGACUUGAACUCAGGACUUCCCUAACUCCAUCUCCUGAGUCUUCGGAUUGGAUAUGCUGCAAUCAUUUCCUCUCUUGAGUUGUUUCCCGAAGCAAUGGAGUCUGCUAACAUGAUGUACACUAACUUACUGAUCAGAGCAUUCAGUAAAGCUAUUUUAUAUCUUGGAAAUUAGAAAUAAUACCUGGCUACACCAGGGUAAAAAAAAUCAGUACUUCAGGGUUUGGGCUCGAAGACAGGUCAUGUGUAGAUCCAGGUUUGCCGGAUGUGACCCAUUCAAACGCCCAGGUUAAAGCCAUAAAAACUACCGAGAGGAGAUGCUUAAAAAUAAAUCUUUGCCCAAAACUACUUCUAGUUUUCUUUCUUUUCUAGUCUAGGGACUAGACCUAGGUUCUCUCCUACACUAGGCAAGUACUCUACAACUGAGUUAUAUCCUUAGAUCCCUGCCAAAAUUAUCUUAAUUUAUUAAUUUAAUAAAUAUUCUUAAGUACUUAGCAAGUAUUGGGCAAUAAACAAAGGUGGGGACAUAUGGUAGCCAAGAUGAGCUCAGUUCCUGGAUCCCAUGUACCUAAGAAGACAGACCCAAGAUGAACAGGGUGCUGUGGGCCUCCCUAUUCUCACUAGAGUCUGCACCACAGGAAGGAAAACAUGCUCCACCUGAAACAGCCACCUCAGACUUCUAGUCUGCACUUCAUUCACGAAAUAGAACUUCAUUCUUGCUGCAGUUUGAAUCUUCCUCUCUGUUUGGCUAAGAUGUCACCUCGCAACAGGUUCCUAUGAGGGAACCACCUAUAUCUGGAAGAGUAACCAUCUCCUUCAGUUGUUUCCCAGACAGACUUGAUAUCAACUCAACCCCAUCACCUGACUUUGUCAAACAAGAAGGUGAAUGAUAAAGGUAUCUGGCCCAAGGCCUAGCCUUAUCCUUAGUCUCAUAGACUAUCCAUCCACUCCUCUUACUCCUUCCUCUGCCUACUCAUCCUAGGCUUUCCAAUCAACCUAUGAUCAAAGCUAUUCCCUCAGCUCUGGUCCCUGGUAUAAUCCGAGGCAUAUUUUUAAUGAGGCAGCACAGUUAGUCGCCAGAUAUAUUUAACAACACCAUAACCCCCCAUAUAUAGAACAUAAAAUUAUUGCAAGUCACAUAAAACCAGAUGCUAACUAAUCUAGGCACUCAACCUCUCUCCUUGCUGAAAGUCAAAGCUAACAGGUGGCAGACCCAGCUGAAGCACCAGGGUCCCAGGUUUCUCUGUAUCUCACUGUUCUGUUGUCUGCAUACUUGACUGCACACUAAUGCCCACACACUGUCAGAAGAACAAACAACAGACAGAUCUGGGACUUGCUGGCGUUUGAGAACUGAGAUACACUCUCAAGAACGGGGAGAAGACACAGCCCGGGCUCAGACAAGCUCAGAAAUCUGCAGGGGAUUCGAGAUGUCAUUUUGCCACAACGUUCUAUGUGGGCUUCACUUGCUAUCAACUCGGUUUCUCUUCUACCAUCAGUCCCAGAUUUGUGCUGAUUCAGGCACAUUCUCCUGGUGGCCCCUGGGGGACUAAGGGUGCCUAUCAAUCUCUGAGGCAGAAGGGAAACAGUACCAAAGGGGCACAGAGACAGUGGCUGUGAACUUCACUCUGGAGGACAAUAGUGAAGGGGGAUUGCAACUGUAGUGCUGAUUUGGUUUCUGACAAGACUCUACAGGAGCUCCUUGUAAUUCAUUGCAGCAAUGGACUACCUCAACUUGGCUUCUACAUCCUCCUGUGCAUAUCUACAUACCAACGGGGAGUCUAGCUUAGGCUCAAGACUUAUUGUAGCCAAUGGCAUAUGAGCAAAUACAACACAGAAACUGAAUAUGAUUAAAUAUUCAGGCUUAUUUAUUCCCCAUUGGGGAUUCCUAUACUAUCUUGAAAAUAAACAUAAAGUAAUUUACCAAUAGACUUUAGACUCCUUGGAGAGAGAGGCCCCAGCUACCCCAAAAGAACCCUAAGUACACAAGUGAGCCCAGCUCCCACACCCCCCAAAAUAAAUAAAUAAAUAAAUCACAGAAACCAACAAUACAUCAUUUCAGUUGCAUCUAGGCCAACAGCACACACCUAACAAGGGCCAAAUUAUUUAAUUUGUGGUGUUUGUUAUGCAGCAGAUAGUAACUAAUAUAGUGUUCUCUCUCCUAAAAACAGGCCCAACGAACCAUGAUCCCAAGACAACAAUUCCUAAGAUGGAGUCCUGGGUGAAGGUUUUGAUGGAUACCUAAUGCUUAAAUAUUAAACAGCAAAAGCCUGUAGGCAUUACUGACAAAAUUCCUUAGACAAGGCUGUCUGCAUGUGGCAAAUGGCAGUCACUUUCUACCAACAGCAGACUUCCUAUGCAAACCCUUUCUAUCAACUAAGGAAUGCAAGCCUUGGUAAUCCUCCCUGCAGCCCGACCCACUACCUCAGCUUAGCUAGUUACCUCAGUUAGUUCUAGAACAAACCUGUGUUUUCCUCUCUGUGAGUUCCUUCCACGUCCAGGAACCAGAGGAAAUCUAGACACCCUGGAGAGUUGUUCACAAAUCAUUAUACCAUGAUUGUGCUCUUGAAAUAUCACUGGGGAGAAAGGUAAGCUUCAGCAGGGGUAGAAUCUAAGGGUCCCUAGGGCAGACUUCGCUCCCGGGAUUGCUUCUUAGCAGUACAACAAAUCCCAACACUGCCCCUCUCCGUUUCUAGAAGUUUGAGAUGGCAGCAAACCUGAGCUGGGAAACUCGAUAGAUACAUCUGGUCAACCUCUUCUCCCACAUCACUCAGAGGUCACUAUAGAUAGAACUGGUCAACCUCUUCUCCCACAUCACUCAGAGGUCCCCAUAGAUACAACUGGUCAACCUCUUCUCCCACAUCACUCAGAGGUCACUAUAGAUACAACUGGUCAACCUCUUCUCCCACAUCACUCAGAGGUCCCUCUAUAUAGCCUGACAUAAGUUAGCCCAGGCAUCUCUAUAUUAUUAGUCAGUUAGGGUGUCUUGGAGCCUCUUAACAAAAAUCACUAAGUUCACUGUAUAAGUGAACUUUGCUUAACCAACCUUCUGUUUCUCAUUCAUUCAUUAUUAAAGAGUCACACCAAGUCACAAUGCCAGAGAACAGAUGACACUCCAGAGGACAGCAGCAAGGCGGGUAACUACAAAACAUAAGCUCAGCAGAUACCGCAAUAUGAAGCACCUAGCAUGUAUUAAACACUCUUCUAAGGAUGUUAAAACACACUGACCAAAAGACAUUAAACAGACACUAACACAUAGUGAACUAACAAUAUGCCAGAUAGUGAGUAUAGCUGAGAUUCAAACAGUGUAGAACCACACUGGCACAGUAUUUCACUAGCAACGGUGGCUUAGCUUCAGACAAAAUGGCAUAAAGAUGGAUUGGAAGGGAAAAUGAAAGAUAUAAACACAGGCUACUGCAGUAAGCCCAGAGGCAAGAUGGUGAAGAGUAGGUAGACAACACCACAGGGAACCUGGAUUUUAGGGGUACUUCUGGUACAAAAUCAACAGGCCUGUCUGUCUGGAGACUGGAAGGCUGGGAGAGACUUGGAUGAUAGAAUUCAAGAGGCAGGACAGGCUUAAAACACGGUGCUGGAGAAAAUCUAAUAAUUGCCAAACCUAGGCUUCCAGGUUCAGUAAGUUGCUAGGAGGACUCAUGAGACACCUAGCAAAGGGUCAAAAGCCAAAGUUAGACAAUGUAAAAGCUCACAGAGUCAAGCCAAACUGCAGUGCCAGCUACCAAGAGUCCGCUCCGCAUGGAGCUAUACAGGAUGAGCUUUCUCCUUCCUGAACAGAUCUGACGACACAUGGGAGUGCAGUCUCUAUAAAGGCAUAAGGCACACGGAGCCCACAGGUUUUACUGGAGACAACUCAUUUGAGCACACUCCACCAGAAUACACAAUUCCAGACAGCACACAGGAUAUACAGCAGUGUGGGCGCAGACAGCCUCUCUUCAGUGUUUUGGAAAGAUGUCGAACCCUCUCCAAAUACCAUGUUUGCAGACACCAGCCCAAGGCCAAUCCUGCAAGGCCAGCUCUAAGGCAGACGGCCGGGGCUGCUAUAUUAACCCUGCUCAGAAGGUCAAAGAGUGGCUAAAUCUUAUCUUGUACGUUGAUAUCUCCUGUCCAACACACCAGUCAUCUACUGACAGCGGUUCUCAGUCAUAUUCGGAUGACAGUUUACACUUCUCCCAUAUACAAACAGACUGCCAAAAAUACAGACAAAUAUGCCUCAAAGCAGAUCCAGCAGGUUUUAAGGUUGCUAGCAGUUCCUUACCCACCAGGAAGGCUGUCCCCAGGAAGAUGCCAAUCUGCAUUUCAUUAUUCGGGUAAGUCAACAUUAGGUCUGCUCCAGAGUCAAACACAAUUAAAGCUUUAAUUAACUCAAACUCAACCAGCUCCAUCUUCAAAUAAAAUAACAUUUUCAGGCAAUGGAUAAGAGGAAGGUCCAGGUCGCUUCGUUUUUCAUUUUUACAUGCCCCCCCCCACCUUUUCCUUUGUGUUUGUAUGUAAUAUAUGUGUACAUGUGUGUGAGCGAAGACCAUAAGAGGAUGCUCUACUUACUCUGUCCUGGAAUUCAGAGCUAGGUAGGUAACCAGAUGGUCCCAGCAAUCCUGUCUCUGCUCCCCCCAAGCCCUGUGUGUACCACUACCACACACAGUGCUAGGGUAGGUAUACAGAGCCACAAUUGGCUAUUUAUAUGGGUGCUGGGGAUUCAAACUCAGGACCUCACACUUGCAUACCAAAGGACUUUGAAUCAUCUUCCCAGUCCUGAGAAAAGGACAAGACAGAGUCUCCAAUUAGAAGCAUAUUAAAAAUAAAAUCACUUCUAGAAGCCUCCCAUGGGUAGGCCCAUGUUUUACAUCCUCAUAAACGCAAACUGAGCACUUGAACACAAGUGAGUGCCCCCACCAGCUCUCAUGCACUCAUUCCAUAUGUCCUUUCCCUUAGCACAAUGCUAACCCGCGACUUCAAUAGGACCGUCCGUGAAGGAAGGCCAAACAACAGACUUGGUAGUAAUGUUUGUAACAAGGUGUACCUGCUGUCCAAAACUUGUUAUCUCAAGGCUUCAUGGAAUGGGGACUCUCAAAAGUUUUCUUCAUGAAUACCGAAAAACUGGGUCCCUUUGUGCUGUAGCUUGAACCUGAAAUGUCCUUCAAUGGCUCACGUUUUGAAUGCGUGUAUCCCAACUGCUGAAGCUAGGGGAGCCUUUAGGAGGUGACACCAGCUAGCAGAAGUCUGAAUGAAUCAGUAACAAAAGGUAAUAUCCAUUCAUGGCUUCUGCAGGAAACCUGCUACACCCUCCCACUGCUAUGGUCACCCUAUCCUUGCCUGCCAUGACGGUCUGAAACUUCAUUCCUUUCUUAGUUGUAUCUGUUGGGCACUAAGAUCUCAGUAAUGCAACCUGGCAUUCAUUUUUUAAAGAUCUAUUCAUUUUUAUGUGUGUUUAUGUAUCUAUGUGAAUGUGUGUACGAAUGUUGUGUGGGGGUGCACAUGACUGCACACGGGAGCCAGCAGAGCAUGCUGGGUGUCUUGGAACUAAAAUUAUAGGCAUUUGUGGCAUGCUUGGCUUGUUUCAUGGGGGCUGUGAUCUAAACUCCAGGAUUUUAACAAUUGAGCCCUCUCUCCAACGCCUAAACCUGCUGUGUGUGUGUGUGUGUGUGUGUGUGUGUGUGUGUGUGUGUGUGUGUGUGUGUGUGUGUGUAGGGAGGAGGUGUCCAUACAAUUCAAUAAGUUAACUACCACGACCAUCACAUAAGAAUCUGCUCCGACAACCACCGGCAGUAAGGCAUAUCACUCUUGGGGCUCCUCUUCUGACUUCAGUUCUGGAGAACUGAAAUCCUGCUCUAAUAUUAGUACAAAGCAGGGAGAGCAGAGAGGCUACUAAGAUAACGGAGAUCUAGGGUUAAAAGGCAAGUGGGUAAAGAGCAAACAAAAUACCUCCACCUCCCACCCCAGGACACACCAAACGUGAAGAGACCUCGGAGCACUGGAGUAACUUUUAUGGCUGGCAUAAAACCCAACUGAUGGUGCUGGAGAGAGGGCUCAGCUGUGAAGCUCUGGCAGAGAACCAGGAUUCAGUUCCUGGUACCCACAUAGGGUAGUUCACAGCUUCCUGUAACUCCAGUGCCUGGGGGUCAGACACUGCUGACCUCUAAGGCUACCUGUACUCAUGGGCACAGGACCAUAUCCACACUCACACACAUAUAUGGCGCGCGUGUGUGUGUGUAUGUGUGCGCACGCACACGUGUCUGACCAAGGGCUGGAAAGAUUCAUCUCUGGUUAAGAGCAAAAUAACCCCAACCUCGCCCUCGAAAAGAAGCCUCUGUGCUAUCCUCAUAGAUCUCGGCCCACUCACCAGCUCCCUUCUCUUAAUUCCCGUCUUUCUUCUUCUUUGUCCUCACAAGAAGGAACAACUGCAAUUAGAGACCGACUUUCUAAGUGUCUGAAGAGCCCCAGGACAUUGAUCUACACUCCAGGUCCUCAACUGGAUUGUCUAGCUGCCUUGACAAAACCCACUAAGUUAUUUCUUGAACAAAAGCAACGAUCUUUUAGGUGUUAUAAUCUCAUUCCAAAUCCUUUUACCCACUCCCUACUCUUGUGGCCCCGACACUGCAAUCCUCUUUGGGUAAUCUGAGGUUGGCGGGCACCAGGCCUAUAGUGGCUUUUGCUUUUCCUCCUACUCUGUGGCAUUGUUUGCUGCUGGGAGGGGGCAUGGUGCCAGGGUUCAGGGCCCCAUAAUGACUUUGUUCUUACGGGGCAACUGUUAAUAAUUAGCAGGAAGCAUUUUCCCUUUAAAUCUCACAGCUUGAGCACUAAGAUCUCACAGUGCCAAAGAAACACUUAAUUCCAGGGUGAGACUCGCUUCCAGCACACUCUAGUCGACCUACCCAUAGCAUUAACUUCAUUCAUCUAGCAAUCCGGUGUAAGUGCCUUUCUUUGCUAGGUGUCACGCCUGAAGAAGAGGUGGGAUGGGUAGAAGAGAGACAAGGUUUCUGUCCUCACUCAACUUAUCCUCUAUUAAGGAGAGGUGUCCAUAAGUUUAAGCAGGACAGAUGCUUGGGCAUACAUAGUGGGUGACACAGAGAGCAGAAAAGAGACCAAUAUGGCAACUGUCAAA